UGCAUUCACUACUGUAAGUCGCUCUGGAUAAGAGCGUCUGCUAAACGCCUAAAA
rfam:Salmo salar isolate Sally breed double haploid chromosome ssa01, whole genome shotgun sequence.